GUGAGAAUCCUGUGUUCACACCACCUCAAAGAGAGAAACUGUGCCAUGGAAACCAUUUCCCAAUUGGUGACAGACUCCAGAGAGUUCACACUGUUGUCUACAAUGAUGCUGAUAACUUCUCUGCCACAGAUACCUGCCUCUAUGAUGUUCUGCUAAGCCACUGUGGACUCAACCCUCUGAUCCCGUGAGGUAAUCAUUCCAGUUAACAGAGAAACCAAAG